rnacentral:rRNA from 1 species
CAAUAGCGUAUAUUUAAGUUGUUGCAGUUAAAAGCUCGUAGUUGGAUUUCGGAUGUGAACGACCGGUCCGCCGUUGCGGUGUGCACUGGACGUUUGUAUCUUGUUGUCGGGGACGCGCUCCUGACCUUAACUGGGAGGGACGCGGAGUCGGCGCUGUUACUUUGAAAAAUUAGAGUGUUCAAAGCAGGCAACCGCUCUGAAUACAUUAGCAUGGAAUAACGCUAUAGGACUCUGGUCCUAUUGUGUUGGUCUUCGGGACCGGAGUAAUGAUUAAGAGGGACGGUUGGGGUUCUUCGUAUUCAAUUGUCAGAGGUGAAAUUCUUGGAUUUAUGGAAGACGAACUGCUGCGAAAGCGUCGAACAAGGACGUUCUCAUUAAUCAAGAACGAAAGUUAGGGGAUCGAAGAUGAUUAGAUAC